UACGUAGGGUGCGAGCGUUGUCCGGAAUUACUGGGCGUAAAGAGCUCGUAGGUGGUUUGUCGCGUUGUCCGUGAAAACUCACAACUCAAUUGUGGGCGUGCGGGCGAUACGGGCAGACUGGAGUACUGCAGGGGAGACUGGAAUUCCUGGUGUAGCGGUGGAAUGCGCAGAUAUCAGGAGGAACACCGGUGGCGAAGCGGGUCUCUGGGCAGUAACUGACGCUGAGGAGCGAAAGCGUGGGGAGCGAACAGG
rnacentral:rRNA from 1 species